rnacentral:lncRNA from 1 species
CGGGCGGGCAGGGCGGUGAGGGGGGCUGCGUGCCGGCCCGGAGCCCGCGGCCCGGCCCCACGGCACCCCAUGGCCCGCGUCACCCCGGCUCCGCAGCACCCCAGGGCUCAUGACACUCCGGGGCCCACGGCACCUUUGGGGCCGUGGCACCCCAGCCCCAUGGCACCCAGGGGCUCGCAGCACAGCAGGCCCCAUGGCACAUGGGGGCCCAGCGUAUCCGCUGCCACUGAGGCACUGCCGAGGGACUCACAGCAUCUCGGCGUGGUGCCGGGCACAGGCGAAGGCACUGCUUGUGGCUGAGCUGUCUGUAGGAUCAUUUGUGAAUCUACACGAAUAGUUAUCAGGCAUCAUCUUGUGUUGGAAAUAAUGGAUCAAGCCUUUUGGGCUAAGGUGUGAACAAAUACAGAACAAAAUGACGAUCCCUGAAUCAUGGAACUGGCAAUCUUGUCCUCUUUAGCCUAAUGUGAAAUCCUUCUGGCACCAAAAUGGUCAUCACAAAAGCUUGUUGGAGCCCCUUCUGCAGGUUGGACCAGACUGUGGGAAGUACAGAGAUAAGCAGAAGAGUGUGCAGCAGAUCUGCACUUAACCUCAGAAAUUCACUGUGGUAUUAUCAUUCAUACUAUAUUCUAGGAAAUGCUUUUUAAAACCAAACCUGUCUAUUUUCAAAUACGGUACUUAAAACGAAAUGUGUCUAUUUUAGAAUCUGGUAUUAUAUUACACAUUUUCAGUAACCCAACUUGCCAUCAGAACAUGACCAGUGUACUUUCAGUCAGAUCCUGCUUUCAAUUAAUAGCAAAUAUUAAAUAAGUUCUUUAUAACCACUGGUUUAGCUGACAGCUAAACCUCACAAACUCUUUCUUAAUUUGAAUUACAGACUGCAAUCAUUGUGGGUUAAAUCAUGUACUCACAAUUUGGGCAAAGAUCCCCUUUAGCGGAGCAUUUUGAUUAAGGAAAAAGAUCUGAGCUUCAGUUUACAAAGCUCAAGCUAUUGUUAUGUGAAUUCUAAAUUUCCAAACUCCUCAAAAGGGAUUAAUGCUGCAGUGUGCUAUUUGGUAUAGCCAACGGUAAUUAUUAAUUGGGAUUUGGAAGGUGACCACGUGGACUGAUUUCCAGCUGCCAGUAGAGCAGGAAAAAUUCUGUACUCAAUUGCAGUCUAGUAAACACUGUGUGGUCUGUUCUUUAUAAUUUCAGUGUAAAGCAAUCUUUUCAUUUUCAUAUAACAGAACAGCAAGCAAGCAUUGUGAGCAUACUACUUGUCUGAUAUAAAAAUAAAAGCUAUUAAAAGGAAGAGAUGAUGGAUGUC